CUGCCAUAUCACAAUGAAACACCAGUUCCCAUCUGAUCUCCAAAGUUAAGCAAUAUCAGACCUGUUCAGUAUCUAAAUGGGUCACCAUUUAGAAAUACCAGGUACUGUAAG